rnacentral:rRNA from 1 species
CACCUCUAKCAUUACAAGUAUUAGAGGCACUGCCUGCCCAGUGACAAUUUAAUGUUAAACGGCCGCGGUAUCCUGACCGUGCAAAGGUAGCAUAAUCACUUGUUCUUUAAAUAAGGACUAGUAUGAAAGGCUUGACGAGGGUUUAACUGUCUCUUUCUUACAGUCAAUGAAAUUGACCUCUCCGUGAAGAGGCGGAGAUUAAAAAAUAAGACGAGAAGACCCUAUGGAGCUUAAAUUAAAUAAUUCAUCUCUCAUUAUAAAUAAUCAAUAAGAAACAAAAAAGGGAUUAUGAAUUAACUAUUUUGGUUGGGGUGACCUCGGAGUAAAAUUUAACCUCCGAAUGAUAUUAACCUAGACAAACAAGUCAAAGAUAUUAUCAUAAAUUGACCCAGAAAAUAUCUGAUCAACGGACCAAGUUACCCUAGGGAUAACAGCGCAAUCCUAUUCUAGAGUUCAUAUCGACAAUAGGGUUUACGACCUCGAUGUUGGAUCAGGACACCCAAAUGGUGCAACCGCUAUUAAAGGUUCGUUUGUUCAACGAUUAAAGUCCU